ACAAUGUCAUGGUCGGCAAGCCGACUCAGCAAAAUCUUAGGCAAUAACGGAAACUCUCGCAGCAAAACAAAAGUGUCCGGUUACCGCCGCUGACCAUUGCAGUUAUAGCGCGCUGAUACAAAGUAUGCAGUGUCGUAAUUGCGAGGGCUGUUCCUUAACUUAUGAAGCACGCGAUAGCGAGGGUUGAUUAUAAACUUAUGAAAUAUCCUAUAUUAAGUGUUAUGUGUUAACUACCGGCGACGACUUCUCGUAACUGCUUCGCAGACUCCAAUGCGUCGAUGAUCCGCAAAAGAGUGAGGCCAAUGCAGAUUAAAGCACAGCAUAUGGCUCCAAUGAUGAAUGCCACACGAUAAGCUUGAUCAGUUCCGGCGUCUUUUUUGAAUUGCUGUAUCACCUCCAAAUUACGUUCACUCAAACGAUAAAGGUAAGGGAGGCUGAGGACAUCUUGGCUGGCAGUGAUGUUCAGCAAGGGAGAAUUGGCAAUACCCGGGACUCUAUUGCGUACGUUGUUGUGAUUGUAAAACAGAGUCCCGUUAAUUGCGACUCGGUCUCCGAACGUGAUGAGAUGCGUGCCUUGUACCUGGAUCUCAGUGCCGUUGUCCACCUGAAUCCUUGCGGACCCGUCGUUGAGGAUGAUGAUUCCGUCAACUACGUGGGUGAUUAUUUCCACGUUGCUCGGCUGGAUCUCGCAAUGUGCCGUUCCACCUGCAUGGAGCUCUUUGGCACAUGAACUCUCUAAUGCCAGACGACAAAAUGUGGCUCCAGGUGAAGCGGCGCAACUCAGCAGUAUGUGGGUUUCUCCAUCGCAUUCGGCUAUGACGUUGUCAAACAAUCGCAAUAUGAAGUUCGUGUGGACGACACGAUAAAUCGUAAUUUUUCUGCAAGCUUUCUUAAUCUUUGGAAAUUUAAUUAUAAAAUGUAUAGUGUUAAUGGAUUAAAGAACUUUUACGGACGCAACGGACAUAAGAUCUCCUAUGGGAGUGUUGGUGGGUUCCUCUAGCCAAAUUGAUUUCAAAUCUCAGUGGUCCAAAAUGCUAGCCUUCAAUGUUAGCCUUCGCAUGAGUAAUAGCAAGCAUUAAAUUUUGUAACUCCAUCAUCAGCAUUCUUUUUCUAGUCAUGGCUAAUAAAUGGCUAGUGUCAACUUGUGAGUUUUUGGUUAUCUUGAGAACUUUAUUGACAGUGAUUGGUAACUGGUAAAGCUGGUCUUGAACUCUAGUGUUUAUUUCUAUUUGCCUAUUGUUAGCAUUUGUGUCUUUCUAAAAAUGUUUUUAUUUCACCUUUCCCAACUUUCACUGAGAAAAUACAUAAGUGUUUUGUGAAGAAGAACGUACAAUAAGAUAUUAAAGAGGUGUAUUCUGUGAAGGUGAUAUUUCGCUGUGUGGUGCCCUACCAGGUAGGCGAACAACAGUUUAAGCCAUCUCUUCUCUUCACAAUUGCUGUAGUUGUUGCCAUUUUCCGAGGCCCUGCAGAAGAAUUUACGAGACCCUUUAUAUAUAUUAGCAAAUAUGGAUGCAGAACAGGCUUUAUGUGGCAAUCUUUUUCACGUGUAAACACAAUAGAGUGAGCCCAAUUUUAUGGCAGUGGCUCGUAACCAACCAGGAGCGGCGUGAGUUGCCCCUGAUUAGGCAAGUCCAGAAAACAUGUGUAGAUUUAGUUAACGUAUUGUCUCGAUAGUGGGUCUGUUAUCCAGAAGUACUAUAAAGAUUUGACCAAUAUCAUCUAGGUACUAUUUAGAAAAGAUCACAAUAUUUUUCAUUUAAUGUUGAGGCCUUGGUAACAAGCACCUGCAGUUUCCGCAUUCUCUUCUGGAGCUUGUUUACCUCUAAUAUGUUCAGCGCCUAGCACACCGACUUUGGUCACAGCUCAUUGAAGGAUCUCGAUAGCUAUCCCGACGACUGUUCGUAUUGUCUCCUUGUCUUUUUCCAGGAUGGUUUACCGCGCAAGAUCACGCACGUAUUUAUACACCCAAUAUGGCCAGAAUUGACUGAUGAACAGUUGUCUGUCUUCCGUCGUAGGUACCUAAUAGCAGCUGCGAAAUUCGGUGGUGCGUGCGCAGCAACUUUUAUAAAUUAGUAUCCAGUAGCAUAUAAGCUUUUUACCUGAAUAAUAUAGCUCACACCUGUAAGUUAUGUGAUUUUUUCAAUUGUAGAUGUUGAUGAUGAUUCAGACCCUCGUCACAAGUGCUGAGAUUGGUAAACUUGUAGAUUAUGUUCGGAAAGCAACUAGCCUUCCAAAUCACUGACCUUGUGGCUCAGCAAUGAAACAACUAGUAACGGACUGAUAACGGCAAGUGCCGGAGCAGUAUAUUUGAAGAAGUUGUUCCUACAAAGUUGGUUACAAACCAAACUAGAAUUAAAACAUUGAAUUAGAUCUGAACCCUAAGGCUAGGCGCAUAAGUCUUAGCUACUAUAUCCGGCAAGCCGAUUGGGCAUACUCCAACACUGUCGCUUGCGGCAUAGGCAAGUGUCAGGUUACCGCUGCUGGCCGCAGUGGCCGGGCACUGAACUCGUAGCUCAGCAGAAUGUCGCAGUAAAGCAAAGUGCCCUACAACAUUCUUGCGUUCUUAUAAACAAAAGUGUGUUCUUAUGACAUAAAUAUGAAGUGCAAUUCUUAUGUGUUGACUACUCCUCUCUCAAGCUUUUGACCGUUCCCGGUUAUUUUAUAGCUGUUAAUGGUUUUUAUUCCACCUUCUGUACUUCCUUCGAUGCUUGCCUUCUCUUUACAAUUUGCCAAACGAUGUGAAAGCCAAUGCCAACGACACUGAGGAUGAUGCCUGCUGCAAUCCAAAUCUUAUGAGACCCAGAGGCCUUCAAUUCGUCCUCGAAACUUCUGAUGACGCGCAAAUUGCGGUUGUUCAUCCUUUGUAGUUGGGGCAUGCUUAGCACUGGAUCGUGGCUGAUGAUGCUGAGUAGAGGCGACCCUGCCACUUCUGGCGAUCGGGCUAACAUCUCGCGCUGGUUUACAUAUUUUGUGCCGUUGAUUAUGGCCGAAGAAAGGAAUGUGGGGAGGUGUGUCUAGUUUGUAGUAAUCUCUGGACUAUCGUCUGUGCUGACCUUGGCAGCACUCUCAUUGAUAAUGAUAAUACCGUCAUCGACUUGUGUGGUGGGCUUUAGGUGGUGCGUGCGGCAAAGGGCUGUGCUGCCGGCGUCUAGUGCUUGUGCGUAGGUGUCUUGCGCUGCCAAUUUACAGACGGCGGCGUAGGUCGUCGUUACUCAUUCAUUGACCGCUAGAAUGUCAUUGUCGCAUUCGGCUAUUGUAUCAUCUUGUAGCUGUAGUGUGACGUGUUGGUGUGCCACCGGAAAGAUGGUGAUUUUCUUGCAAAAGAGCUUGACCCUUGGAUACGCUAUUAAUAUAUGGACAAUGUUCUCGGACUGAAGAACCUUGAUUUUAGACGCUUCGGUUGGGUUAACUAUGGGAAUUUCGACAGGAUGUUUAUUUAUAAUUGAUUUCAAAUCAUCGUGGUCAAAUAUUGUGGGGUUUAUUAUACCCGCUUUGGCUAGUGUAAUUCACUAUAUCUUACACGAUUUGGGUCGAGCAGUUCGAAAGCAGCACCACGAACAGUUCGAAAGCAGCACCACGCUUAGACAUAGCAGCGAGUAAACGGUUUAUUGCUGCAGAAAUGCACACACCAUUUGUAGAUAUGGAAGAUAUAUGCAAGCUCAAUAUAUGCGUAGCCUGACGGAGGCAAGCGCCUCCAAUCUCCAAUAAUCUUGGAACAUGAAAAUCGUUAAAUAAAAAAUAUGUUUAAGUAACACAAAGGUUAACCCCGUAAAAUAACAGUGUUGACUCUUAAAUGGUCUUACAAACAAUAUACAAAUAUAUUGCUGUAUAUACUAUAUAUUACGCAGGAAUAUGUUGCUAGAUUAAUAUAAUUGCGGAUAGGUUGCAAUUGAAUUUAGAAUAAAGAACGCGGAAUGAAAUGUUUUCUGU